rnacentral:rRNA from 1 species
GAUGAACGCUGGCGGCGUGCCUAAUACAUGCAAGUCGAACGCUGGAAAUCUAGCUUGCUGGAUUGAAGGAGUGGCGAACGGGUGAGUAAUACAUAAGCAACCUACCCACGAAGACUGGGAUAAUCUCUGGAAACGGGGACUAAUACCGGAUAGGUAAUCGGAAGGCAUCUUCUGAUUAUUAAAGGUUAAAAACACUGGUUGAUGGGCUUAUGGCGCAUUAGUUAGUUGGUGAGGUAACGGCCCACCAAGACGAUGAUGCGUAGCCGACCGGAGAGGGUGAACGGCGACAGUGGGACUGAGCAACGGCCCAGACUCAUACGGGAGGCAGCAGUAGGGAAUUUUCGGCAAUGGGGGAAACCCUGACCGAGCAACGCCGCGUGAGUGAUGACGGCCUUCGGGUUGUAAAGCUCUGUUGUAAGGGAAGAACGGUAGAUAGAGAAUAUCUAAAUGACGGUACCUUAUCAGAAAGCCACGGCUAACUACGUG